rnacentral:lncRNA from 1 species
GUGGGUACAGGCAAAGGGGGAGUGUGUGUGCGUGGGCGCGCGCGCGCCAGGGCGCGCGGCCCGGGGGAGGGGCCUCGCGGGGGGUGGGGAGGGCGGAGAUUGACUGACAACUUCCGCGGGGUCCCGCCGGCCUCUCCGAUGCUCGGCAGGGAGUAGGGGGUGGGAAAGCAUGCCAGCUCCCUCAGCCAAUCGCAGGGCUCAGCGGCGGGCCGGAGCGAGGCGUGGCCUCCUGGAAGGUCUGUCAAGCUGGCGGGGUUAGGCAGGGGGAAUGGGGCGUGGUUGUGUGACGGACUUCGGCCACAGCCAAUCGUAAGUGAAGACGGCGAGCGGACCGCCGCUGGCGUCACAGCAGCCUAAUAAAUUCUCUUUGGGUGGAGGGGAAGAGCCCCUCCACCAGCGAGCACCUUUGCACGCCUGCGCUGCCGCUCCAGGCUACAAUUGCUCUCUGAACAGCCUAUGAGAAGACCAGAAAACUAGACGGGGGUAGUUUAGAGAGCGAAAUAGAAUGCCCCUUCCAUUCCCUCUCUGCUGGCCAAUGAGGCACUGAAGCGGCAGUGAGGACUGGGGCGGGAAAGAGUGCCAGGUGUUACGUCACUGGAAAGGGGCGGAGCAAAGGUCAGGCGGAGGAACGAGCAGUGGAUUGACGGGCGAAGGAGCCCGGGGGAAAGCGAGGAAGUGAGUUCGUCCAAUCGGAGCGAGAUGCACUGAAUGGUGAAAUUGCACACUAUCGCCCUGUCAAAGAGGUUCAAACCUCAGCAGUGUCUUUGAGACCUUUCUGUUUCUCAUCCAGUCACGUUCCAGACCGUAUUGAACCUGCCUUCACAAGCAUUCAGACCUGGCCUUCUUCACAGUCUGCACAACUGACCGCUAAACAGAGUUCAGGGCUUUCAGCUUCACUGCCAGAUUUGUGACCUCCUUGAGGGCACGGGCUACGCCUCAGGUUCCAUUGUGCCUCCGCAGUGCCUGGUGCAGGUGCCUGCAGGUGUCCAGAAAUCUCACCAAGGAGGAGACCCAGAGAAACUGCGGGCCUGGAAGGCAGCAGGGGCUACCAGGUAAAGGCAGGCAAUGCUGGUUUUGCAAUCUGACUUUCUUUUUCCUAGUUGUGGGACUAGCACCAGUGACACACCUUGGCAUUCCCAGACUUUAUUUUCAUUGUGCAGCUGUCUGAUUGGGUGGUUCCCCACAAUAAAGAGGAAACGAAUGAUGACUAUAAAAUUGAGUUCAUAAAACGAAUGACUAUAAAACCGAGUUAUACUUUACACAGAUUCUUUAUCAUCAUCAUCAUCAUCAUCGUCAUCAAGUACUAAUUGAU